rnacentral:rRNA from 1 species
AGUCGAGGGGUAUUGUUCUUCGGAAUGAGAGACCGGCGCACGGGUGCGUAACGCGUAUGCAAUCUACCUUUCACAGAGGGAUAGCCCAGAGAAAUUUGGAUUAAUACCUCAUAGUAUAACACAACCGCAUGGUUGAGUUAUUAAAGUCACAACGGUGAAAGAUGAGCAUGCGUCCCAUUAGCUUGUUGGUAAGGUAACGGCUUACCAAGGCAACGAUGGGUAGGGGUCCUGAGAGGGAGAUCCCCCACACUGGUACUGAGACACGGACCAGACUCCUACGGGAGGCAGCAGUGAGGAAUAUUGGACAAUGGGCGCAAGCCUGAUCCAGCCAUGCCGCGUGCAGGAUGACGGUCCUAUGGAUUGUAAACUGCUUUUGCACAGGAAGAAACACUCGGACGUGUCCGAGCUUGACGGUACUGUGAGAAUAAGGAUCGGCUAACUCCGUGCCAGCAGCCGCGGUAAUACGGAGGAUCCAAGCGUUAUCCGGAAUCAUUGGGUUUAAAGGGUCCGUAGGCGGUUUGGUAAGUCAGUGGUGAAAGCCCAUCGCUCAACGGUGGAACGGCCAUUGAUACUGCUAGACUUGAAUUAUUAGGAAGUAACUAGAAUAUGUAGUGUAGCGGUGAAAUGCUUAGAGAUUACAUGGAAUACCAAUUGCGAAGGCAGGUUACUACUAAUGGAUUGACGCUGAUGGACGAAAGCGUGGGUAGCGAACAGGAUUAGAUACCCUGGUAGUCCACGCCGUAAACGAUGGAUACUAGCUGUUGGGAGCAAUCUCAGUGGCUAAGCGAAAGUGAUAAGUAUCCCACCUGGGGAGUACGUUCGCAAGAAUGAAACUCAAAGGAAUUUGAC